rnacentral:rRNA from 1 species
GAUGAACGCUGACAGAAUGCUUAACACAUGCAAGUCUACCAAGAAUCACUUCGGUGCGGAAUGGUGGCGGACGGGUGAGUAACGCGUACAUAAUCUGACCUUUAGACUGGGAUAUCCUUUGGAAACGAAGGUUAAUACCGGAUAUUAUGAGAUGGACGCAUGGUCAACUUAUGAAAGCUAAAUGCACUAGAGGAGGAGUUUGCGUCCCAUUAGCUAGUUGGGGGGGUAAAGGCUCACCAAGGCCACGAUGGGUAGCCGGCCUGGGAGGGUGAACGGCCACAAGGGAACUGAGACACGGGCCUUACUCCUACGGGAGGCAGCAGUGGGGAAUAUUGGACAAUGGACCAAAAGUCUGAUCCAGCAAUUCUGUGUGCACGAUGAAGGUCUUCGGAUUGUAAAGUGCUUUCAUUAGGGAAGAAAAAAAUGACGGUACCUACAGAAGAAGCGACGGCUAAAUAUGUGCCAGCCGCCGCCGUAA